UUGGUGUGAAUUGCAGAAUCCCGCGAACCAUCGAGUCUUUGAACGCAAGUUGCGCCCGAAGCCGUCAGGCCGAGGGCACGUCUGCCUGGGCGUCACGC
rnacentral:rRNA from 1 species